rnacentral:rRNA from 1 species
AUUGAACGCUGGCGGCAGGCCUAACACAUGCAAGUCGAGCGAGCGGCGGACGGGUGAGUAAUGUCUGGGACACUGCCUGAUGGAGGGGGAUAACUACUGGAAACGGUAGCUAAUACCGCAUACCAUCAGCUGUGCCCAGCUGGGCUUAGCUAGUAGGUGGGGUAACGGCUCACCUAGGCGACGAUCCGUAACUGGUCUGAGAGGAUGAUCAGUCACACUGGAACUGAGACACGGUCCAGACGCCACCGGGAGGCAGCAGUGGUGAAUAUUGGACAAUGGACGAAGGCCUGAUCCAGCCAGGCCGGGGGUGUGAGGAAGGUAUUCGGUUUUUAAAGCACGUUAAGUUGGGAGGCGUUACCAACAGAAUAAGCACCGGCUAACUUCGUGCCAGCCGCCGCGGUAAUUC